UGGCGCCUGGUUUUUCUCGUGGACUUGUUAUUAAAUUACCUUUUGGAUUAUACCCCGUUGUCGUGCACAUUUGUGCAAUACCGCAUCACUAGUUACUGUCUCUUUAUUUAAGGAAUCUCUCUGCAACCAAGAGACAAUAGAGCACAGGAAAAAUUAUGUGUCCAGCUGAAUGUAUCUUGGGAGUCAAGAAUGCUUCAAAUGACAACACCUGAGAUUGUUCGUGUUGACAAUAAAGAAAGUGAGUCUUUUUUCCUGAAUAAAGCCAGCUGUGCUGUGGGUGUCAUUAGAGUCACAGAUGGAUGCAGCUCAAACUCUUGGUGAUGUGGGGAGGGCUCCAGAAAGGAGUUUGUUUUGUACCCUAUUUCUGAGUCAACAUUGCCAGGAGGAAUGUCACUAGUCAGAGAAAUCCUCUAUUGAUCUCUCUCCAGGGGCAUCAGCAUAUCCAUAACUGGA